rnacentral:SRP_RNA from 2 species
GCCGGGUGUGGUGGCUCGCACUUGUAAUCCCAGCACUUUGGGAGGCUGAGGCAGGCGGAUCACCUGAGGUUGGGAGUUCGUGACCCGCCUGACCAACAUGGAGAAACCCUGCCUCUA